rnacentral:tRNA from 1 species
CGGGUAAUGGAGGAGCCUGGCCGUCCUCGCUGCUUUUGGAAAGCAGAGUUCGCAAGUUCAAAUCUUGCUUACCCGA